CAUGCAGUUCGAACGGCAGCACGGACUUCGGUUCUGGUGGCGAGUGGCGAACGGGUGAGUAAUACAUCGGAACGUACCCUGUUGUGGGGGAUAACUAGUCGAAAGAUUAGCUAAUACCGCAUACGACCUGAGGGUGAAAGUGGGGGACCGUAAGGCCUCACGCAGCAGGAGCGGCCGAUGUCUGAUUAGCUAGUUGGUGGGGUAAAGGCCCACCAAGGCGACGAUCAGUAGCUGGUCUGAGAGGACGAUCAGCCACACUGGGACUGAGACACGGCCCAGACUCCUACGGGAGGCAGCAGUGGGGAAUUUUGGACAAUGGGGGCAACCCUGAUCCAGCAAUGCCGCGUGUGUGAAGAAGGCCUUCGGGUUGUAAAGCACUUUUGUCCGGAAAGAAAUCGCUUCNGUUAAUACCUGGGGUGGAUGACGGUACCGGAAGAAUAAGCACCGGCUAACUACGUGCCAGCAGCCGCGGUAAUACGUAGGGUGCGAGCGUUAAUCGGAAUUACUGGGCGUAAAGCGUGCGCAGGCGGUUUUGUAAGACAGGCGUGAAAUCCCCCAAGCUCAACUUGGGAUUGCGCUUGUGACUGCAAGCUAAAAUAUGUCAAAG
rnacentral:rRNA from 1 species